AGCUUUGCGCAGUGGCAGUAUCGUAGCCAAUGUGGUUUAGCCGAGGCUCGAUUAUUGCUAAUUGAAAAGA
rnacentral:snRNA from 1 species